rnacentral:lncRNA from 1 species
GAGAGUUACUGUCAGGAAAAUCUUACUGUUGGAUACAGGACAAACUAUUAAAAGUUGCGCAAGUCUUUGUCAGCAUCGAGCUGCUGUCCUGCAGGUGUUCUGCCAUGUUGACACAGCUCAUGUUUGCCCUGUUUUAUUUAUUGCUCUUUCUUUUGGAGGAAAUCAGAGAAAAUAGGACUCAUACCAGAAACGGAAACAGUUUAUCUAUUUAGCUGUUGAACUCUUCGGGAGGGAGGGAAGAAAGAAGUAAGAGAUGCACGAAUAUGUAAAAAAUAUUCACCUCCAAAGCACACUAAAAAGAGUAAUGAAGGAUCCAGAUUAGAGGGACUUGUGCCAGAGAGACACUGGAGCUCCUGAAAAUGCAGAGGAAAAAUGAAAGGAAAUUCCAUUACUUUUAAUAGAGUGAAUGCUAAUCUGCAGUCACAGUCAAGGCUCUGAGGCAGUUACAUAGACCAAAGAGCCUGGUUCAGAGGAGAAUUGCAAUUAUUGUCCUGAAAAGCCUGAUGGCUGGUCUUCACAAAAACAGAGCAGUCACUUUGAAGGAGAGAGAGCUCUUUAUUAUGCAGCUAAUAAAGGCUAUACCAGAUGUUCUAAGAGGCUCACCUAAACGACCUGAAGAGGAAGAAGGAUUCCUAUACCCUAUACUUCCAUAGUCUUAAAACAAUAGAAAAUGUCAGCUGACUAUUGUUUCCACGUCUGUAGGAAAGAGAAGAAUGUAUUACUAGAGGUGCCACAUUUCUUCCCCUCUCAUAAGAAAGUUUAAGGAAACAAAUAUUUUCUCCAAAUUAAUGUGUGCCUUUUUCAAUGCCAAAGACUUGGCUCUCCCAGACAUUGUUAUACAUUAUGUUUAGACUUCUAAAAUGAUCCACACAUAAACACUCAAAAAUAUAUUUUUGCUACUUUAGGGAUUAAGUUGGCUAGGGGCGCCUAGGGUGGGAACUAAUUAUGGAUUUCAAAAUUAUUUCUGGGGAAUGUCACCCAAGUUCCAAAAAGCAGACUAUUAAUACUUAGAAGAUAACCCACGUGGAAGUCGGGGACUAUUUCUAUCAGGUGUAAAGUCUGAAUGAUAUUAACUCAAACAUUUUAACAAGAUAGUUCAAUUUAUGGGUAACAAUACAAAAUAAAAUAACAGGUUGUGAAAAUAUAAUGAUGAAU